ensembl:snRNA Gm22542 predicted gene, 22542
GUUCACUUUGGCAGAACAUAUAUUAAAAAUGGAGCAAUACGGAGAUGCUCCUGCACGAGGAUAACGUGUCAAUCUGUCAAGCAUUUCCGUUUGUU